rnacentral:miRNA from 1 species
GCCGGGGCUGGGGCAGGGCUGGGCUGGGCUGGGCUCCGCGUCCGCAGCGCUGCGGACCUUUU